CUACGGGGGGCAGCAGUGAGGAAUAUUGCACAAUGGGGGAAACCCUGAUGCAGCAACGCCGCGUGGAGGAUGACGCAUUUCGGUGUGUAAACUCCUUUUAUGAGUCAAGAAAAUGACGGUAGCUCAUGAAUAAGCACCGGCUAACUCCGUGCCAGCAGCCGCGGUAAUACGGAGGGGUGCAAGCGUUACUCGGAAUCACUGGGCGUAAAGGACGCGUAGGCGGGCUUGUAAGUCAGGUGUGAAAUCCUACAGCUUAACUGGAGAACUGCACUUGAAACUAAGAGGCUAGAGUAUGGGAGGGGAAGAUGGAAUUAGUGGUGUAGGGGUAAAAUCCGUAGAUAUCACUAGGAAUACCGAAAGCGAAGGCGAUCUGCUGGACCAUUACUGACGCUAAGGCGUGAAAGCGUGGGGAGCAAACGGGAUUAGAUACCCGUGUAGUC
rnacentral:rRNA from 1 species